rnacentral:rRNA from 1 species
UCAGCACUCUGAUGCAGCACGCCGCGUGGAGGAUGACACAUUUCGGUGCGUAAACUCCUUUUAUAUGAGAAGAUAAUGACGGUAUCAUAUGAAUAAGCACCGGCUAACUCCGUGCCAGCAGCCGCGGUAAUACGGGGGGUGCAAGCGUUACUCGGAAUCACUGGGCGUAAAGAGCAUGUAGGCUGGUUUGUAAGUUGGAAGUGAAAUCCUAUGGCUUAACCAUAGAACUGCUUCCAAAACUGCAGACCUAGAAUAUGGGAGAGGUAGAUGGAAUUUCUGGUGUAGGGGUAAAAUCCGUAGAGAUCAGAAGGAAUACCGAUUCGAAGGCAGA